rnacentral:lncRNA from 1 species
GCUUGUUACAUCACAGACUGCUCCCUCACUUACCCCGCAACCACACAUAGUUUCUAGAUCACUGGCUCUGGGCUGAAGCAGAAGAAUUUGCAUUUCUAAUAGGUUCCCAGGUGAUGCUGCUGCGGCUAGCCUGGAGAUCAUACCCAUCUGUACUAAGAGAAUAGACUCCAAUGGGAAUGUCUGCUCACUGUUUUCUUCUAAGACCUGUGGCGUCCUCUUCUUAAACUCCGCCAGAGAAUCUGGACUGGGGACCAAGCAAAGCAGGCUUUCUACACGUGAUGAAGAAACAGCUUCAGAAAAGUGACUCCUUCCUGUUACUCUCUAAGUUGUAUGAUUCCAAAGUGACAACUCCAAGGUCAUUCAGACGGAAAAAAAUCCUCACGUGUGGAAGAUAAUAAGAAUGGUUUCCUCCUCUGGUGUGGCCAGUUUUUACUUGUAACCCUAUGCUGUGCUCCAGAGACAUGAAGCAAAUUCACAACCUUGAUCAUUUAUUUUAAAAUGUGCAGGAAAACUGUAGUAUACUUGAUGUGGGGUAUGUUUUAUAAAUGCAGAGGAGAAACUUUUUU